GACAGAGGGGGCAAGUGUUGCUCGGAAUUACUGGGCGUAAAGGGCGCGUAGGCGGGAUGGUAAGUCGGUCGUGAAAUCCCUCGGCUCAACCGAGGAACGUCGAUCGAUACUACCGUUCUUGAGGAUUGCAGAGGAGACUGGAAUUCCCGGUGUAGCGGUGAAAUGUGUAGAGAUCGGGAGGAACACCGGUGGCGAAGGCGGGUCUCUGGGCAAUUCCUGACGCUGAGGCGCGAAAGCGUGGGGAGCAAACGGG
rnacentral:rRNA from 1 species